rnacentral:rRNA from 1 species
CGAACGCUGGCGGCGUGCUUAACACAUGCAAGUCGUACGGUAAGGCCCUUUCGGGGGUCCACGAGUGGCGAACGGGUGAGUAACACGUGAGUAACCUGCCCACAACUUUGGGAUAACGCUAGGAAACUGGUGCUAAUACUGGAUAUGUGCUCCUGCUGCAUGGUGGGGGUUGGAAAGCUCCGGCGGUUGUGGAUGGACUCGCGGCCUAUCAGCUUGUUGGUGGGGUAGUCGCCUACCAAGGCGGCGACGGGUAGCCGGCCUGAGAGGGUGACCGGCCACAUUGGGACUGAGAUACGGCCCAGACUCCUACGGGAGGCAGCAGUGGGGAAUAUUGCACAAUGGGCGCAAGCCUGAUGCAGCAACGCCGCGUGCGGGAUGACGGCCUUCGGGUUGUAAACCGCUUUCAGCAGGGACGAAGCUUUUUGUGACGGUACCUGCAGAAGAAGCACCGGCUAACUACGUG